UACAGAGGCCACGAGCGUUAGGCGGAAUCACUGGGCUUAAAGCGUGUGUAGGCGGAUCGUUAAGUGUCUUGUGAAAUCCCACGGCUCACCCGUGGAACUGCUGGGCAUACUGGCGAUCUUGGGCCAACUAGGGGCAACUGGAACAAGCGGUGGAGCGGUGAAAUGCGUAGAUAUCGCUUGGAACGCCAAAGGUGAAAACAGGUUGCUGGGAAGUGCUGCUGAC
rnacentral:rRNA from 1 species